rnacentral:lncRNA from 1 species
ACCCAAUGCAUCGCUGCAGCAGUGCCGUGUAAUGGCAGCGGUGCCCCCUCCCGCAGGUGACACGGUGACACCGAGGAGCCGGGCGUUGUCACCCUCACGGCGGCGGCGGCCAGCGCUGGUGGCACGCGGCGGCAGGGGGACGUGGCCCCCGGCACCGCGUCCCCAAGGGACAAAGCCCCCGCGUGGCGAUGUCCCCAAAUGGCGAGGUCCCCAAAUCACGAUGUCCUUCGGUUGCGAUGGCCCCAAAUGGCGAGGUCCCCAAGUGACACUGUCCCCAAAUCACAAUGUCCUUCGGUUGCGAUGUCCCCAAAUCGCAAUGUCCUCAAGUGAUGAUGUCCCCAAAUUGCAAUGUCCUUAAAUGACAAAGUCCCCAAAUGGGAAUGUCCCCAGAUGGUGAUGUCCCCAAGUGCCAAUGUCCCCAAAUCACAACGUCCUUCAGUGACGAUGUGCCCAGAUGGUGAUGUCCCCAAGUGACGAUGUCCCCAAAUCACGAUGUCCUGAAGUGGCAAUGUCCCCAAAUCACAGUGUCCUUUCACAGUGUCCCCAAGUCACGAUGUCCCCAAAUCGCGAUGUCCCCAAGUCGCGAUGUCCCCAAGUCGCAACGUCCUCAUGUCACAAUACAAAGACAAAUUCUUGAGCCACAGUGUCCCCAAGUUGCAGCGUCCCUGUGUCACAACGUCCCCAUGUCACAACAUCAAUUCAUCAUGUCCCCAGGUCACGACGUCCCCAUGUCACGACGUCCCCAUGUCACGAUGUCCCCAAGUCACAAUGGCCCCGCAUUGCAUUGUCCCUGUGUCACAACAUCCCCAUGUCACAACAUUGUCACGCUGUCCCCAUGUCACGACAUCCCCAUGUCACGAUGUCCCCAUUGCACCAUGUCCCCAAGUCACAAUGUCCCCAAGUUGCAGUGUCCCUGUGUCACAUUGUCCCCAUGUCACGACAUCCCCAUGUCACAAGUCCCCAUGUCACGACAUCUUCAAGUCGCGAUGUCCCCGAGUUGCAGUGUCCCUGUGUCACAUUGUCCCCAUGUCACGACAUCCCCGUGUCACACUGUCCCCAUGUCACGACAUCCCCAAGUCACGACAGCCUCACGUCAUGCCCCACAUCACACUGCCCCACAUCGCUCUGACCGAUAGCACAGGGCCCCACAUCGCUCUGCCCCACAUCAGACUGCCCAUCACAGUGCCCCACAUCGCUCUGCCCCACAUCGCUCUGCCCCACAUCAGACUGCCCAUCA